rnacentral:rRNA from 1 species
AUGUUGCAACAAGAUAUGAAGAAGGUACAGGAGCUUGAGGUAAUUGAUAGACUGACAGGGACCGAUAGUCAGAGAUUUGUGGUUGCGUGGAAGAAUAACAGGGAUCACAGAUUUAAUGUGGACUAUACGCCAGGUAACUCGGCAGAAACUAUAAAGUGCAGUUGCCGAAGUAUGACUCGCAAAGGGCUUCCUUGCAAGCAUAUUAUUCAUGUUUUGAAUGCACUUAACUUACAUGUGAUACCCAAGUGUUGUGUCCUGCGAAGAUUCUCAAAAAAAGCACGAGCUGGACUGCCCGUGAAGCGCACUAGCGAUUUGUUUGCGUGGGGUUGGUCGAGUGGUGAGGACAGAGCUAGAUAUAGUGAGUUGACCAUCAAAUCUUCAGAAGCAUGUCAUGUCGCACGCAGUAAUCCCUUCUUAUUCGACAAGUUGAUGGCAGCUCUGGAUGAUAUUAUAGUGAAUAAGGACAUUCAUGGAAAUGAAGAUGAUAUUCAGCAAAGCUUCGUGAACAAUAAUCCAUUUGAGCCUAACCGAGAUCAUAUUUUGGUUCCUGAUCCAGUAAAGGUUUCCACCAAGGGCGCACCUAAGAAGAACAGUAGAGGUUGCGAUAAGGGUGGACCAGAUGUGACAAAAAAUUAA